rnacentral:rRNA from 1 species
AGCGAACGCUGGCGGCAGGCCUAACACAUGCAAGUCGAACGAACUCUUCGGAGUUAGUGGCGGACGGGCGAGUAACACGUGGGAACGUGCCCUUUGGUACGGAAUAACUCAGGGAAACUUGAGCUAAUACCGUAUGUGCCCUUCGGGGGAAAGAUUUAUCGCCAUUGGAGCGGCCCGCGUCUGAUUAGCUAGUUGGUGAGGUAAAGGCUCACCAGGGCGACGAUCAGUAGCUGGUCUGAGAGGAUGACCAGCCACAUUGGGACUGAGACACGGCCCAAACUCCUACGGGAGGCAGCAGUGGGGAAUCUUGCGCAAUGGGCGAAAGCCUGACGCAGCCAUGCCGCGUGGAUGAUGAAGGUCUUAGGAUUGUAAAAUCCUUUCACCGGUGAAGAUAAUGACUGUAGCCGGAGAGGAAGCCCCGGCUAACUACGUGCCAGCAGCCGCCGUAACAC